GCUGCACCGCCAACAGGCGGCAAGGCUGGAGUAUUUUAUUACCCUUGUCUUUUGCGCACUUGUUGUUUCCUGGGCGGGUUCGCCCGCCUCCAGGACCACAUGAUAAACCUUUUUUAUGCAGUUGCAAUCAGCGUCAGUACAACAAAUGUAAAUCAUUUACAACUUUCAACAACGGAUCUCUUGGUUCUGGCAUCGAUGAAGAACGCAGCGAAAUGCGAUACGUAGUGUGAAUUGCAGAAUUCAGUGAAUCAUCGAAUCUUUGAACGCACAUUGCGCCCUUUGGUAUUCCAAAGGGCAUGCCUGUUCGAGCGUCAUUUGUACCCUCAAGCUUUGCUUGGUGUUGGGCGUUUUUUGUCUUUGGUUUUGUCCAAAGACUCGCCUUAAAACGAUUGGCAGCCGGCCUACUGGUUUCGCAGCGCAGCACAUUUUUGCGCUUGCAAUCAGCAAAAGAGGACGGCACUCCAUCAAGACUCUAUAUCACUUUUGACCUCGGAUCAGGUAGGGAUACCCGCUGAACUUAAGCAUAU
rnacentral:sRNA from 1 species